GGGCAUGUGGUGUAAGUGGUAACACCCGGGACUCUCAUUAUCCGGCACCCGGAGCUGCCGGUUCGACUCCGGCCAUGCCUG